rnacentral:rRNA from 1 species
UGCUUCUCUUGAGAGCGGCGGACGGGUGAGUAAUGCCUAGGAAUCUGCCUGGUAGUGGGGAUAACGUCCGGAAACGGACGCUAAUACCGCAUACGUCCUACGGGAGAAAGCAGGGAACCUUCGGGCCUUGCGCUAUCAGAUGAGCCUAGGUCGGAUUAGCUAGUUGGUGGGGUAAUGGCUCACCAAGGCGACGAUCCGUAACUGGUCUGAGAGGAUGAUCAGUCACACUGGAACUGAGACACGGUCCAGACUCCUACGGGAGGCAGCAGUGGGGAAUAUUGGACAAUGGGCGAAAGCCUGAUCCAGCCAUGCCGCGUGUGUGAAGAAGGUCUUCGGAUUGUAAAGCACUUUAAGUUGGGAGGAAGGGCAGUAAAUUAAUACUUUGCUGUUUUGACGUUACCGACAGAAUAAGCACCGGCUAACUCUGUGCCAGCAGCCGCGGUAAUACAGAGGGUGCAAGCGUUAAUCGGAAUUACUGGGCGUAAAGCGCGCGUAGGUGGUUCGUUAAGUUGGAUGUGAAAUCCCCGGGCUCAACCUGGGAACUGCAUUCAAAACUGACGAGCUAGAGUAUGGUAGAGGGUGGUGGAAUUUCCUGUGUAGCGGUGAAAUGCGUAGAUAUAGGAAGGAACACCAGUG